AUGUUACAUAUCAGUGUUAUUCAGAAAGAGGUGCGAGGACCAAUGGUUCUGUGCUCCUGUAUAGUCGUGUAUGCGAGAAUAGGUAAGACACUUAGCAUGUACCAUGAUUCUGGAGUUGGAUGGGACGAUAGGGCAGGAGGGGCUGCGAGGAAUGUGUCAAGGUUGGAGGAUGGUCAAUGUAGGCCACUGGGGCUUAAGAUUGGACACUGUUAUAUGAAUAAAGUUAGAGCAGGCAUCACACUGAAUAAGGUUGGCCGGUUUCAGUCACACGGAGAAGUUUCUCUAUCUAGUUGCGCUACCACUGGCGUUGUCUCUAAGAGUUUGGUUGCCUAG
rnacentral:rRNA from 1 species